rnacentral:rRNA from 1 species
AGGACGAACGCUGGCGGCGUGCUUAACACAUGCAAGUCGAGCGGAAAGGCCUUUCGGGGUACUCGAGCGGCGAACGGGUGAGUAACACGUGAGUAAUCUGCCCAUCGCUUCAGGAUAGCCAUCGGAAACGGUGAUUAAUACUGGAUAUGACAUUCCUUCGCAUGUUGGGGUGUGGAAAGUUUUUUCGGCGGUGGAUGUGCUCGCGGCCUAUCAGCUUGUGGUGGGUAAUGGCCUACCAAGGCUUUGACGGGUAGCCGGCCUGAGAGGGUGACCGGCCACACGUGGGACUGGAGACACGGCCCAGACCUCCGUACGGGAGGC